CUUCGGUACAUCGGUGACAGGUGGUGCAUGGUUGUCGUCAGCUCGUGUCGUGAGAUGUUGGGUUAAGUCCCGCAACGAGCGCAACCCCUAUUGUUAGUUGCCAUCAUUCAGUUGGGCACUCUAGCGAGACUGCCGGUAAUAAACCGGAGGAAGGUGGGGGAUGACGUCAAAUCAUCAUGCCCCUUAUGACCUGGGCUACACACGUGCUACAAUGGUUGGUACAACGAGUUGCGAGUCGGUGACGGCGAGCUAAUCUCUUAAAGCCAAUCUCAGUUCGGAUUGUAGGCUGCAACUCGCCUACAUGAAGUUGGAAUCGCUAGUAAUCGCGGAUCAGCACGCCGCGGUGAAUACGUUCCCGGGCCUU
rnacentral:rRNA from 1 species